GUUUUCAAAUCAAUUGGGUAAAUACCUAGAAACUAGAUUGUUGGAUCAUGUACUAAGACUAUGUUUAGCUUUGUGAGAAAAUGCCAAAAUGACUUCCAAAGUGGAUAUACCAUUUUUCAUUUCCAUCAGCAAGGAAUGGUAGUUCCUGUUGCUCUGCAUCUUCAUUAGCAUUUGGUACUGUAAGUUUUAAAAUUUUUUUAGCCAUUGUAAUGAUUGUGUAAUUGUUGCAGUUUACUAAUGAAAAAAAUUCUCUCAGGUUUUGUUUAUAUAGGAAUAUAUUUAUUUCAUCUUCAUUUUUAAAAGAGUUUUGCUGGGUAUAAGAUUCAUGAUUGACAGUCCCCUUUUCCCCCUAUCAGCACUUUGAGUAUAUUCUACUGGAUUCUGGCCUCCAUUGUUUUGGAUGAGAAGUCAGCUGCUAAUCUUACUGGAGCUUCCUUGUAAGUUGAUGAAUCAUCUUUUUCUUGCUACUUUUAAGACUUUUUUCUUUGACUGCGUGUUUCAGCGUUUUUAGCAUUAUGUGUUUGUGUGUGGAACUCUUUGAAUUUAUCGUACUUGGAGAUCAUUGAGCUUCUGGGAUGUGUAUAUCAUUGUUUUUCAGCAUAUUUGCCACUCCACUUCACCAAACAUGAUGUGUUUCUCCAGCAAUCCAUCCCUCCUGUUGACUCAUCCAAAAUGCUGGUUUUCAUUGGAAACUUUGAUAGCAUCUGGCUUCUGUACAAGUCCUCUGCAGAAAUGGAGGUAAGGGCCUGCCACGGAGGUUAGGUGUGACUCAUGUUGACAGAUGGUAGGGAGAAACAUUUUCAAUUACAGAAAGCAAGGAGCUAAUGAAUAGAGAAGGCAUAAAUAGAAGGCUACUGGUACCAAGUACCUUAUUGGGAAAUUGUUGCUUGUAAUAACAGUAGGUGCAAACACACCUCUGGGAUGUGAAUAACACAGAAAGCUAAGUAAAGAGAUAGCCUGUUUUCUUGAAGCAUACAUUUUGCGGGCUCAUUUAGAUUUUGACAAGCAACAUUAGUCUAGGAAAAUUCUAAAUAUUUUUAAGUAUUUUCCUCCUUAUAGAAAAUUAUUUCUUAGGACUUCUAAUUCUUUCCCUUCUGAGAAAUGCUUGGGGUAGUUUUCUAUUUUGAAGUAAAUCAUUUCAGGCCAGUACUUCUCUUUCUUUCUUCUUUUACUAUGCUUCAAGCCUAUUCAUUAUAGCCUUCUUCACUACUUGAUUUAUUGUUACAAUUAGAUGCAAUAGUCAAGAUUAAACCUUUUCUUUCUAAUGAUGGAAACUACAUUUCAGCGCAGGUGGAGAAAAGGAAAGUUUGAGAGUGUAUAAUCUUUGAGGGUAAUGUUUGAAACAGCCAGGGAUUUUCAAAGAUAAAGGCAAGAGAAGUGGCCUUCCUUUUGUCUCCAAGGUAACGCUUUGGGUAAGCUUUGACCACGCAAGCAAACUUUUCUCGGAGUCAAUAAUAGCGUCUCAUUUUGAAAAACUAAAACUUUUAUUAAACUUACAGGCUCAGAAUUUAUACAGAGAUCACUUGAGACAGAGUGUAGAUUAGAGAAAGGAUUAGGCUUCCAAACACCACACUGUGCGGUUCUGUGGGAUCAUGGGCAAUCACUGGCUGCUACAUGACUCAGUUUUUAAAAUCUGUGAAAUGGGAGUAAUAAACUACUACAUGAGAAACAAUUUAGGAUAAUAGAUGUAGAAGUACUGCAUCUAUGGUGAAGCUUCUGAUAAAUGAAAAAUUUUACAAGCAUGUCCUUGGGUGUUAAAUUUCUCUUCUUGUUAGUAACUUUUUAUUCUGUACCUAUUGUUCUCACUGUUCUUUAUUUAUGCAUCUAUCGUUACAUUUGUUUCAUGAUAAAAAUGGGGAUAAUAAUGUUGUGUAUUGCACGGGAUUGCUGUGAUGAUCGUUGUUGUUGUGUGCCAUUGAGUUGAUUCUAAUUCACAGGGUCCCUACAGGACAGAGUAGAGCUGCCCCACAGAGCUUUCUAGGUUGUAAUCUUUAUGGAAGUAGAUCACCAGGUCUUUUCUCCU